CUGCUUAGAUGAGGCGUGAUAACGAGUGGCCUUGUGCCGCGAAGUGAUUGAUACCAUGCUUCCAAAAAGCCUCUAAGCUUCAGUUACAAAGAGACCGUACCGCAAACCGACACAGGUGGGCAGGAUGAGAAUUCUAAGGCGCUUGAGAGGACUCAGGAGAAGGAACUCGGCAAAUUAGCACCGUAACUUCGGGAGAAGGUGCGCCCUGGUAGCGUGAAAGCCCUCGCGGCUGGAGCGUGAAAGGGUUGCAGUGAAAUGGUGGCUGCGACUGUUUAAUAAAAACACAGCACUCUGCAAACACGAAAGUGGACGUAUAGGGUGUGACGCCUGCCCGGUGCCGGAAGGUUAAGUGAUGGGGUGCAAGCUCUUGAUCGAAGCCCCGGUAAACGGCGGCCGUAACGAUAACGGUCCUAAGGUAGCGAAAUUCCUUGUCGGGUAAGUUCCGACCUGCACGAAUGGCGUAACGAUGGCCACACUGUCUCCUCCUGAGACUCAGCGAAGUUGAAAUGUUUGUGAAGAUGCAAUCUCCCCGCGGCAAGACGGAAAGACCCCAUGAACCUUUACUGUAGCUUUGCAUUGGACUUUGAACCGGUCUGUGUAGGAUAGGUGGGAGGCUUUGAAGCUGGGACGCUAGUUCUGGUGGAGCCAACCUUGAAAUACCACCCUGGUUUGUUUGAGGUUCUAACCAUGGCCCGUGAAUCCGGGUUUGGGACCGUGCAUGGUAGGCAGUUUGACUGGGGCGGUCUCCUCCCAAAGUGUAACGGAGGAGUACGAAGGUACGCUAGGUACGGUCGGACAUCGUGCUAAUAGUGCAAUGGCAUAAGCGUGCUUGACUGCGAGACCCACAAGUCGAGCAGGUACGAAGGUAGGUCAUAGUGAUCCGGUGGUUCUGUAUGGAAGGGCCAUCGCUCAACGGAUAAAAGGUACUCUGGGAUAACAGGCUGAUACCGCCCAAGAGUUCAUAUCGACGGCGGUGUUUGGCACCUCGAUGUCGGCUCAUCACAUCCUGGGGCUGUGGCCGGUCCCAAGGGUAUGGCUGUUCGCCAUUUAAAGUGGUACGUGAGCUGGGUUUAAAACGUCGUGAGACAGUUUGGUCCCUAUCUGCCGUGGGCGCUGGAAAUUUGAAGGGACCUGCUCCUAGUACGAGAGGACCGGAGUGGACGAACCUCUGGUGUACCGGUUAUGACGCCAGUCGUAUCGCCGGGUAGCUAAGUUCGGAAGAGAUAAACGCUGAAAGCAUCUAAGCGUGAAACUCGCCUUAAGAUAAGAUUUCCCUGGGGACUUGAUCCCCCUGAAGGGUCGUCGAAGACCACGACGUUGAUAGGCUGGGUGUGGAAGCGCAGCAAUGCGUUAAGCUAACCAGUACUAAUUGCCCGUGCGGCUUGAUC
rnacentral:rRNA from 1 species